UCUGUAGCCACGCCCACUCGAAUGACAUCUCUCGCAGGCCACGCCCCGCGCACCUGUGCGCCAGGUUCUGCUGGAGAGAGCGGAGCUGAUGUCUUCGGGCAGGACAUGCACUUAUAUAAGUAUAAACGCUUUAUUCAUUUCGUUACACGUAUCUCUUGGAAAUAUUUUCUGCGCUAUCUACCCUGGUGAAAACGCCGACUGCUACAGAAACUUUGGUUUAAAUCUUUAAAUAAUCGUCUAAAUAAUUAUGUCUUGUGUUUCCAGUUUGGUGUCUUCGGGCAGGACGAGCUUGGCUCAGCUGCUGGAAUUAUCGAUAAAAUGCAACGAAGUUAGUCUUCAUUCCGGCCGCUGCCUCGACAGAAGCCUCGGAGAAACAGUAACGUGAUGUGUGUUUCUGUGUUUUUCCUUGCAGUUGCAUGCAAAAGUUUUCGUUGACUUGUAAAAGCAUUAAGCCUUAAUGUAGCCGUGCUUUGACACUUUGUAAUUGAAAUGCUUGUUAAUUUUCACAUCGAAGCUUUUGCAACUGACGUAUUGUAAUGCUUUGUUUUGUAUGCCA